rnacentral:pre_miRNA from 1 species
CUUGGAAUUUGGGUCAAAUGGUGAUUCUAUUCCAAGUUUUCUGAGGAAUAUUCAUAUUGAUUGCCAAAGUGGUUGUACCAAUUUGCAGUCCCACCAGCAAU